GCCGCUUUAUAUUUUGUACACCUCUACGUGGUAAGCGGCAGGCAACGUUUAUUUUAUAGACGGCUAAGAUGCAAAA
rnacentral:ribozyme from 10 species